UAUGGCCAGACACAUCACGCCACUUCACUCGCGCGAUAUCUAAAGCAUAUAAAUAUAGUGUGUAGAGUCUUAGUUCAAGCAUAAUACAAUUGUUUUGCUCUAUAACGCUAUUGCUGUAUAUUUAUUCUUUAAGUUCUCCAAGAACCAAAAAUCAAAAAUGGGCGCAGAAAAGGUAUCCAUGAACAUCGUUGUGGUCGGACAAGUGCAAUCCGCCAAAUCAGCCAAAAUCGUCAACAAGGCCCAACCCCAAGUUUCUCAACACAAUAUGAGCUGUUAAUUCAACUCAUAUAAUAUGCCCACCUCAAAAAUGCCAUAGACCAAUCCGAUAUAUUAUGUGCAAUGAAUAUAAACUUAACUUGUAGUAUUUAAAAUCAAUCAAUAAACUGUCUUUUCCGUUA